UACAGAGGGGGCAAGCGUUGUUCGGAAUUACUGGGCGUAAAGGGCGCGUAGGCGGCCUGCUAAGUCGAACGUGAAAUCCCUGGGCUCAACCCAGGAACUGCGUCCGAUACUGGUUGGCUUGAAUCCGGGAGAGGGACGUGGAAUUCCAGGUGUAGCGGUGAAAUGCGCAGAUAUCAGGAGGAACACCAGCGGCGAAGGCGGCGCUCUGGGCCGGAACUGACGCUGAGGAGCGAAAGCGUGGGGAGCAAACAGG
rnacentral:rRNA from 1 species